rnacentral:rRNA from 1 species
AGAGUUUGAUUCUGGCUCAGAACGAACGCUGGCGGCAGGCUUAACACAUGCAAGUCGAACGAUAUAGUGGCAGACGGGUGAGUAACGCGUGGAAACGUGCCUUUCACUACGGAAUAGCUUUUGGAAACGAAAGGUAAUACCGUAUACGCCCUCCGGGGGAAAGAUUUAUCGGUGAAAGAUCGGUCCGCGUUAGAUUAGCUAGUUGGUGAGGUAACGGCUCACCAAGGCUACGAUCUAUAGCUGGUCUGAGAGGAUGAUCAGCCACACUGGGACUGAGACACGGCCCAGACUCCUACGGGAGGCAGCAGUGGGGAAUAUUGCACAAUGGGCGCAAGCCUGAUGCAGCCAUGCCGCGUGAAUGAUGAAGGCCUUAGGGUUGUAAAAUUCUUUCGCCAGGGAUGAUAAUGACAGUACCUGGUAAAGAAGCCCCGGCUAACUUCGUGCCAGCAGCCGCGGUAAUACGAAGGGGGCUAGCGUUGUUCGGAAUUACUGGGCGUAAAGCGCACGUAGGCGGACUUUUAAGUCAGAUGUGAAAUCCCGAGGCUCAACCUCGGAACUGCAUUUGAAACUGGGAGUCUAGAGAUCAGGAGAGGUUAGCGGAAUACCGAGUGUAGAGGUGAAAUUCGUAGAUAUUCGGUGGAACACCAGUGGCGAAGGCGGCUAACUGGACUGAUACUGACGCUGAGGUGCGAAAGUGUGGGGAGCAAACAGGAUUAGAUACCCUGGUAGUCCACACCGUAAACGAUGAGUGCUAGUUGUCUGCAGGCAUGCCUGUAGGUGACGCAGCUAACGCAUUAAGCACUCCGCCUGGGGAGUACGGCCGCAAGGUUAAAACUCAAAGAAAUUGACGGGGGCCCGCACAAGCGGUGGAGCAUGUGGUUUAAUUCGAAGCAACGCGCAGAACCUUACCUACGCUUGACAUGCCCGGACGAUUUCCAGAGAUGGAUCUCUCCCUUCGGGGCCGGUGCACAGGUGCUGCAUGGCUGUCGUCAGCUCGUGUCGUGAGAUGUUGGGUUAAGUCCCGCAACGAGCGCAACCCUCAUCCUUAGUUGCCAUCACGUUUGGGUGGGCACUCUAGGGAAACUGCCGGUGCUAAGCCGGAGGAAGGCGGGGAUGACGUCAAGUCCUCAUGGCCCUUACGCGUAGGGCUACACACGUGCUACAAUGGCAGUGACAAUGGGAUAAUCCCCAAAAGCUGUCUCAGUUCGGAUUGUCGGCUGCAACUCGCCGGCAUGAAGUUGGAAUCGCUAGUAAUCGUGGAUCAGCAUGCCACGGUGAAUACGUUCCCGGGCCUUGUACACACCGCCCGUCACACCAUGGGAGUUGGAUCUACCCGAAGAUUGUGAGCUAACUUCGGAGGCAGCAAGCCACGGUAGGUUCAGCGACUGGGGUGAAGUCGUAACAAGGUAGCCGUAGGGGAACCUGCGGCUG